UACGGAGGGUGCAAACGUUGCUCGGAAUCAUUGGGCGUAAAGCGCACGUAGGCGGCCUGUUAAGUCGGGUGUGAAAGCCCUGGGCUCAACCCAGGAAGUGCACUCGAAACUGGCAGGCUUGAAUAUGGAAGAGGGUCGCGGAAUUCCCGGUGUAGAGGUGAAAUGCGUAGAGAUCAGGCGGAACACCCGUAGCGAAGGCGGCCAGCUGGGCCGUCCCUGACACUGAGGCGCGAAGGCGUGGGGAGCGAACGGG
rnacentral:rRNA from 1 species